AUGGCUCAGUGGUCAGAGCUAUCGGCCUAAAAACUGAAGGGUCCCGGGUUCGAUUCCCGGU
rfam:Myotis davidii contig178936, whole genome shotgun sequence.